rnacentral:tRNA from 1 species
GGUGGGGUUCCCGAGCGGUUAAAGGGAGCAGACUGUAAAUCUGCCGUCACAGACUUCGAAGGUUCGAAUCCUUCCCCCACCA